AACGAACGCUGGCGGCAUGCUUAACACAUGCAAGUCGCACGAGAAGUAAUUCUAGUGGCGCACGGGUGAGUAACACGUGGGAAUCUGCCCUAAAGUCGUGGAUAACUACUGGAAACGGUAGCUAAUACAGGAUGUGCUGGAAACAGUAAAGUAGCAAUAUGCUUUAGGAUGAGCCCGCGGUUGAUUAGCUAGUUGGUAAGGUAAGAGCUUACCAAGGCAAUGAUCAAUAGCUGUUCUAAGAGGAAGAUCAGCCACACUGGGACUGAGACACGGCCCAGGCUCCUACGGGAGGCAGCAGUGGGGAAUUUUGGACAAUGGGGGCAACCCUGAUCCAGCAAUCCCGCGUGAGUGAAGAAGGCCUUCGGGUUGUAAAGCUCUUUUACCGAUGAAGAUGAUGACGGUAGUCGGAGAAUAAGUUCCGGCAAACUUCGUGCCAGCCGCCGCAGUAA
rnacentral:rRNA from 1 species